GCCCGUGUGGCGCAAUUGGUUAGCGCGUCAGACUUUUAAGACACCACAAAAGUCGAAUGAAAUCUGAAUGUUGCGAGUUCGAGUCUCGCCAUGGGCG